UGCACUCGUGCCCUCAGGGAGCUUACAGUUCUGUGGGAGAAUGCCAUAAACAAGGAACAACAACGUGUGGGGCAGUCCAGCGAGCCCAGGAACACUCUGGAAGGACACCUCGCCUCCACCUGCCUGGUUGGGGUGCCUCGUCUGAGAAGGAGACUUCCAAUCCGAGACGCGCGCGGAGGCUUCCUCAUCUGCAGGGUGAGAGGUCGUCUCUCAGCAUGUCAGUCAUCUUGGGGUGCACGAGGUGACAUCGCGGCUCCUCCCCUGUUUGCCUUUGGGCCAGCUGUGCUCCAUCUCAGGAUGCAAGCAGCUGUUUCAACAACGCGAGCUGCUGGUCACAAGGGGGCUGGCCAGCAUUGGCGGUGGAGGCAAGGCAGAAGGCCGGCGGGCCUGGCGGCUGGCCCCUGAACCAGAGUCCCUGUUAGAAGGAGACCAGCUGACUGUCUGCAGUGGGGCCAGGAUGCUCAGCAGUCGGCUCAGUGCAGGCUUGGCAGAAACCGUGGGGACACGGGUGACAGCCUGGGCUUGAGCAAAGGCCAACAGGGCGAGUGGACUCUGACAUCUCAAAGCAAAGCUCUGGGUGGGCGGCUCAGAGCACAGCCCUCACUGACCAGGCUUCUCUCCCACCGCCCUUGCACACCAUGCUUCCCACUGAACACGGUGCCCAGGGGCCCAUCUCCCUGCCAACUACCUGUCUGUACCCGCCACGGGGCUCAGACGAACACUGGCUUCUCCUUGCCAUGCACUCCUGUUACCCAACCAGGUUCGUUUUUGCCCGCUGCCCAGAAAGCCAAACCCCGAGAGGACGAGAUUGCUGCAGAGAGAGGGUUUACUCACAAGGCAGCCACGUG